GUUCCUGUGUUGCCUUCCCAUCGUGUGGAAAGAUUCGUCAGACAGCCCCGCACCUGUCCUCCUUGUGGCUUUGCGGCUGCAAUGCGGACCUCGAAGGCAGUCCCCGUGUCCCGGACAUAUCCUCUGACUUUUGUCGUGGCUGUCUCGGUCCACAGGACAACUGCUCGUGCUCUCGGAUGUGGGAAAUUAAGCGGACGUGGGGGGGUCUUGGCCCUCCGGUUGCUCCGAUCGAGUCCCUCGAUAAGAAUGACUCUCGCUACCUCAUUGAUCGCAGGCCGUCUAGGCCCGUGCCAUCAAUGAUGGUCCGAAGUCGAUAACGAAUGCUACCUGGUUGAUCCUGCCAGUAGUCAUAUGCUUGUCUCAAAGAUUAAGCCAUGCAU
rnacentral:misc_RNA from 1 species